UUUUUGGGAGUCCAACCAAGUAAAACUCAAUAAAAACACUAAAAAAGAAUUACAGAAGGGGAGUCUAGAGCAGAUAAAAAAUGGAAUAAAAACAACUAAAACAACAAAAAUUACAAACACAUUAAUUAAUAACGCUUGCAAAAAGUUGCAAUGAAGGGAAUGUAGUGCAGCUAAAAAGAAAAAAAAAUAAUAUAUAUAAAAAAAUAAGCAAUCAAACAAAAACAACAAAAAUAAUACAAACACAUCAAAUAAUACAAUACAAGAUCACAAACACCAGCAAAGCACAGCAAUCAGUCAAUAUUCAAGAUUCAGAUAGUGGGAGGGACCGUUGCAAAGGCUGAUAACAAUUUGACACUUGCCAGCUGUUUGGGGUGAGCUUGGGUUGACUUUCUCUCCAAAUGACAAGUGUCAAUGUCCCAUAUACCGGUAAGAGACACACACGCCCACGACGCCCCUGCCCACGCCUGCGAUACUCCACGGCACUGCAGGAAUGGUGCAAGAUAGGAAUGUGCCGUGGAAGAGAGAGAGAGAGAGAGAGAUGAUCUGUGUCUCGCUGAUCUCAUGCAGCACCACAGGCCAGGCCAGAGUCCAGGCUGGACACUCAGCUGACACCAUCCCACCAACUAGACUCCCAGAGGAUUCUUGCAGGACUGGCUGUCAUGUAUGCUGUUGGGAAUAGUGCUGUGGUGGAGCCUGCCAUGCUAGCCAGCAGCUUAAGUAUGCAGCAGCAGCAGUCUGUCCUAGGUGUGGGAAGUGAAAUGUGUGAGGGUGAGAGUCACUUGGAAGCAGACAGCUCUGUCAGUAUAGGAGAAGUCAAGUUUGUAAAAACUUUUGAAUCCAAAACUGGGCUUCAGCAUCACACCAUGACACACAGUGAUGGUAGAAAUGAUGAAAGUCUAGACUAUAAAAAGAUAUUUGUUGAAACGUCUCACUUCACUGAACACGCUGUGAAACACAGUAGUAGUAGAAAUUAUGAAUGUGUAGAAUGUGGAAAAAAAUUUAUUCGUAAUUCUCACCUUACUGAACACAGCCUGAUACACAAUAGUAUUAAAAAUUAUGAAUGUGUACAAUGUGGACAGAGAUUCACCCAAAGGGUUAAUCUCAAUAGACACAUCCUGACACACAGUGAUGUUAGAAAUUUUGAAUGUGUAGAAUGUGGGAAGAAAUUUACUCAAAAGUGUCACCUAAAUGAACACACACUGACACACACUCACAGUGGUAUUAGAAAUUAUGAAUGUUUAGAUUGUGGAAAGAAAUUUACCCACAAAACUUACCUCAACAAACACAUCCAGACACACAGUGGUAAAAAUUAUGAAUGCUUAGUGUGUGGAAAAAAAUUUAAUCGCAAGUCUGGCCUCAGUAAACAUUCUGUAACACAUAGUAGUGUUAGAAAAUAUGAAUGUGAAGAAUGUGGUAAAUCAUUUGCUACCUCUACUUAUCUCAAUAAACACACUUUCAGACACACUGGUUUGAGGGAAUUCAAAUGUGAUGUUUGUGGGAAGUGUUUCAAGACAAAGUGUGAGGUUGCCAGGCAUGUGAAGAUCCACAUUUGAGAUGGUGUGUUGUGUAGACAAGUGGUCAUACUCAUACCUUCAUGAGUGUGUCUCCUGUGAGAAUGUAGUGUUAUAUCUGGUGCUACUUUUAUUGGCAACUGUGUCCUGUGAUAUGAGGAACCAAUGUCCCUAGCAGUUAUAUUGCCACUAUGGAUGGUGUGGCUUUUAAUAAAUGUGUCUGUAUGGUA